AGACAGUUCGGUCCCUAUCCGUCGCGGGCGUUGGAAAUUUGAGAGGAGCUGUCCUUAGUACGAGAGGACCGGGAUGGACUUACCGCUGGUGUACCAGUUGUUCUGCCAAGGGCAUUGCUGGGUAGCUAUGUAGGGAAGGGAUAAACGCUGAAAGCAUCUAAGUGUGAAGCCCACCUCAAGAUGAGAUUUCCCAUUUCUUUAAGAAAGUAAGAUCCCUGAGAGAUGAUCAGGUAGAUAGGUCAGGAG
rnacentral:rRNA from 1 species